GGUUAGGAGGAGGAGACAUUCAAAUGACAGGCAGAGUUGAUUGGUUGAACAGUUGCCACCCGCGCAGGCUAAUUACUGAGCUUAAAAGAUCAACCAAUCAGAGAAGGGCAGAAACAGAAUAUAAGGAGAUGCUGACAGGCGGGUGUGGGUGGACAAGAUCAGAGAAGGAACAGCAGAAGAUCAGAGAAAACAGUGAAAGGAAAAGACCAAAGAACAGAAAAAAGCAGUAGCAGCAGCCGGAGAAGAAGAUUGCAGGCAAUAGACAGAAGGACUGAGACGAUCCAGAAGGAUUGUAGAAGAAGUGUGAUUUUAUAUCUAUUUUGAAAGAAUGACUGGAUCAUCAAGGAGUGUUCUGAGCUGUUCCACCUGCUCGAUCAGGUUCUGUGUUCCUCCUGCUAGACACCACCUUCAGUAAUACAAGGUCCGGAACCUAACGGUUGCUGCAAUAACUUGGGUCGAGACCAGCUGUCUGCUGUCUAAUCAUGAGCUAUUUACAUCAACCUGCAAGUAUAAAAACGGACUUUAUUAUACUCAUAGCUUGUUAAGGGUCGUACAGGAGCCAGGGCUGAGCCGGGCUUCAAGCCCAACUGCUUCAAAACCACUGAGCUAUUUUACUGCUCUCUCUCUGUUUAUCCCCUUUGUUCCCAGUUGUGUUUGUUUCCCUAAAUAAAAUCAUUUUGAUUUGCACCUUCA